AUCCCCUGGCGAUGGGCAAAGGGACACCUUGUCAGUGGUGGUGUUCUUACAUCAGUCAGGGGACAAGCAGAAGGCAGUCCUUUGUUCAUCCUAGCUUGAUACCUGACAUGGUGGUCAAAAUUGUUUUAUGCCUAGGACAUACAA
ensembl:snoRNA